rnacentral:tRNA from 1 species
GGGCCCAUAGCUCAGUUGGAUAGAGCGACGGUUUCCUAAACCGUAGGCCGCAGGUUCAAUUCCUGCUGGGCCCACCA